CGGGUUGGGCGGGCCGGGGCGGGGAGGGGUUUGUGGGUGAGGCCUUGGUCCCCCGCCCGCUGAGGAGAUGGAUGAGGAUGGGCUUCCUCUCAUGGGGUCAGGCAUAGACCUGACUAAGGUGCCAGCUAUUCAACAGAAAAGAACGGUGGCAUUUCUAAACCAGUUUGUGGUGCACACUGUACAGUUCCUCAACCGAUUUUCUACAGUUUGUGAGGAGAAACUGGCAGACCUUUCUCUUCGUAUCCAGCAAAUUGAAACAACUCUCAAUAUUUUAGAUGCAAAGUUGUCAUCUAUCCCAGGGCUAGAUGAUGUCACAUUUGAAGUAUCUCCUGUAAGUGUCACUAGGAUCACAAAUGAAACACAUUCUGAAACCACUUCAGAGCAAUCACAGCCGAACAGUUUGCAAGACUCUGGACCACAGGAAACUGAAGUAACACCAGAAAAUAUCUUAACUGUAGCCAAGGAUCCAAGAUAUGCCAGAUAUCUCAAAAUGGUUCAAGUGGGUGUUCCAGUCAUGGCAAUAAGAAACAAAAUGAUAUCAGAAGGACUAGACCCAGAUCUUCUUGAGUGAGAUUCCUAGGCAUUGUGAUGCAGACCAGGGAUUACCACCAUCCUGCUUAUCCUAGCAAUAAGGAGUGUGUCCAUACCUUGCAACAGGAUGCCUUAAACAGAUGAGUAAAUCACAGUACACAAUAAAUUUUAUGGCUGAAGAAAUUAAUUCUGCGGAAAUCUCCCUCUAACAGGACCCAGCCUGAAAGAACAGCCUCUGCAUAGGACAUGUCUGGGAAAGAGCAAGAGAACUGGCCAAAACUCAAGAUGAGUCGUAGACUUUCUGCUCCAACAUGGAGAGAGAGGGAGAGAGACCCAAAAGGGAGAAGAGUUGGCUCUCAGUAGCUUUCCAUUCGGCUGGAAAAGGAACAGCUCUGGUUGCUACAACUAUGGUUGCUCCUUCUUGCUAUUUAUGGAUGGGGUGGCUGUUACUGCAGUCCACUAGUGCCCCCUAUUGUCCCCUUCAGGAAGCUCACAAGGCAGCAUGAACGGCCGAACCUGGGACUUAAUAGCCCAGUUGGUGAAGACAAGCACACUCAGAAACUUCAAAUAACAAUAUAAGGGAAUGGAACAGAGAUAGCAACUAGGUCUCGCGUCACUUGCCAUGAGCCUUCAGUGGCUGCCUCAAGUGCCAUGUGGAGAAGAAUUCUGAAGUUCUUGCCAGCCUUGGAGAGAAAGAGCACUGAUAUCAAAAACAAAGUGAUGUUUUUCAUGGGAAUGAGGAGUAUGAAUGAAGUUAUACCACACAUACUUACCAUUCUUAAAAUGAAUGAUGAAAUGCCAGAUGUGACAGAUUAGAUAGAACAGUCAUUUCUGGAGAAGAUAAGAUAGCUGGACCUUGGAGGAUGAGUUUGAUGUGAAUAGAAGGAGAUGAAGUAAGGGAGGGAGAGGUAUCUGGCACCAGGGAUUUUGUGAGCAAGUGUGCCAGAUAUAAAAUCCAUAUGGCCUAUUUGUGUGGCAAUAAGUAGACCAGUCUGUCUAAAGAAGGGUUUGAUGCUAAAGAUUAGCUCUACAAAUAUGGUAACCAGAGAUGCGGAGCUGAUGAUGCAACAUCCAAUAAGUUCUCCCACUGUUCCCACAAAUUCCCUCUUAUGCAUUGGGCCAUGUGCCUCUCAGAAAAUGUGGAUACCAGUAAGUCUCUAGCACCAUCUUGUCUAUCAUGGAGCUGUUCAAAGGCUCUUUUCCAGGACCUCCCUGGUGGCGCAGUGGUUAAGAAUCCGCCUGCCAACGC